rnacentral:rRNA from 1 species
GACGAACGCUGGCGGCGUGCCUAAUACAUGCAAGUUGAGCGCUGAAGGUUGGUACUUGUACCAACUGGAUGAGCAGCGAACGGGUGAGUACCGCGUGGGGAAUCUGCCUUUGAGCGGGGGACAACAUUUGGAAACGAAUGCUAAUACCGCAUAAAAACUUUAAACACAAGUUUUAAGUUUGAAAGAUGCAAUUGCAUCACUCAAAGAUGAUCCCGCGUUGUAUUAGCUAGUUGGUGAGGUAAAGGCUCACCAAGGCGAUGAUACAUAGCCGACCUGAGAGGGUGAUCGGCCACAUUGGGACUGAGACACGGCCCAAACUCCUACGGGAGGCAGCAGUAGGGAAUCUUCGGCAAUGGACGAAAGUCUGACCGAGCAACGCCGCGUGAGUGAAGAAGGGUUUCGGAUCGUAAAACUCUGUUGGUAGAGAAGAACGUUGGUGAGAGUGGAAAGCUCAUCAAGUGACGGUAACUACCCAGAAAGGGACGGCUAACUACGUG